UCUGGAUUCGUACCAUCAUCCACUGCGGUCCUGUGCUUGUCCUUUCUCCCUCCACCCAAACCUCCCUACCGAGAGCUCCGUACACCAGUGAAGUUCUCAGUCCUGCCCGCUAACGUUAGUGAGCGGAGGUUAAGGAGAGGGACUGGGGGUGCUGAGUGUCUCCAUCUUCUGGCUUGUCUUUAGGACCUCCAGUAAGAAGGUAAUUUACAGCCAGCCCAGUGCUCGAAGUGAAGGGGAGUUCAGACAGACCUCGUCAUUCUUGGUGUGACCCUGGUCCGGCUUCUCUCCAGUGCUUGCCUUACUCAGGUGCUACCAGACUCUGGCCCCUGAUGUCUGUACUUUCACAGGAUGCCUUAUUUGUCUUCGAGCCCCCUCAGGGGCCCCCACUAUUAUCUUAGGUUGUGUUUUGUAAUAAUUUCAGCCAUGUGCACCUUCCUGCCUCCCUUCCUUUCCCACCACUGGCUGAGUGGCCUGCGACUUGUUUAAAGCCUUCUUGUCCCAGCCCUGCAAGGGAUCAGAGAGAAGUCCUGACUGAUGCCUGCUGACCACAAGUAGACCACAAGAGCAGUGGGGCACCCACUGCCCCUGCAUGUCGUGGUUCUCAGAUAGGAAUCUGGAGCCUGGCUUCUUGACUCCUUCCUGCUGUGCAGCUUUCUUGAGUGGAGACUGGAGCAGCUGGAAUGGUUGUUUGGAAACGGUGUCGAGUCUCUGCCACCUCUGCAGGCCACUGUGUUCUGUCUUCCAUGGGAAGUGCCACUGGGAUCCUCCUGCACCAUCCUCUUCCUGAACACAAGCAGAAAAGAAAGCUGGAGGGGAUAGCUCAAACUAUCACCCUUCUCUUGGUUGGAACAACUCAACCUGCCCUUUUAAGAUAUGUCUGCAGGGUUAUGGAAAUUUGUGUAGCAGUCAGUUCUGCUGAGCAUGUGAGUGUGUGUGUUUGUGGUCUUGGCUCUCUGUUGAAAUCAAGUGUUUCAGAGUCCUCUUGGGGUGGGAGGAGAGCACCUGGCUGAAGUGCUCCAGGUUCCAGGUGAUCUGACUCACCCAGGGAAAGAAGCCCACUCUCCCACCUCUGCCAACCCAGAUGGCUAGUACACUUCCCAGAGGCUACAGGAAAAGCUGCUCCAGAGCCUGAGGAGGAUUUCUCAAAUCCUCUGGAGAACCACUUCUUUAGUAGUAAAGUAGUACUACUUUAAUUAGAGGAUAGGUGUAAGUGAGAACAGGAGUGAGUGGGGUAGACACGCCUGUCCCUGCUUUCCUCAUCCCAUCUGGACCCUUCUUUGCCCUUGAAUCUAUUUCUCCCUUUACCCAAGUAGUCUAUUUAUUAACUAGCAAGAGGGCAAAUAAGGAUUUUGCUAAUUUUGUGGAGGAUACUGUGCACCAUUUCACCGUAUUCUGUACCCUUAUCUGACAGUCCCUCCCAGAACUAAGCUUUCUUUUCGUCCAGGGUCCAGAAGGAAAAACAAAAAACAAAUCAUAUUGUCACGCACCAACAAAAAAUAAGCAUUCCAGGUGGAAAUAAAAUCUAAUUAGGCAAUAAAAGUAGAGAUUGUGAAACGGUUCAGUAAGAAUGAAAAUUUCAACGUAUGUUUCAGUUUCCUGGUUGGGAGACAGGGUGGGUAGGAAUAAAGGGAG
rnacentral:lncRNA from 1 species